GCAAGUCAAGGGGAAAGUUUCGCUUGCGGAAUUAGUAUACUGGCGCACGGGUGAGUAAUAUGUAAGUAAUCUACCCAUAGAUUUGGGAUAACGUCGAGAAAUCGGCGCUAAUACCGUAUAACGCAUCGGGACCGCAUGGUUCUGAUGUUAAAGCCAUUUAUGGCGUCUGUGGAUGAGCUUGCCUCUGAUUAGCUUGUUGGUAGGGUAAAGGCCUACCAAGGCAACGAUCAGUAGCUGGUCUGAGAGGAUGAUC
rnacentral:rRNA from 1 species